rnacentral:misc_RNA from 1 species
GAUGAAGAACGUAGCGAAACGCGAUAGGUAAUGUGAAUUGCAGAAUUCCGUGAAUCUUCGAAUCUUUGAACGCACAUUGCGCCCCCUGGUAUUCCGGGGGGCAUGCCUGUCCGAGCGUCAUUACAACCCUCAAGCUCAGCUUGGUGUUGGGCCCCGCCGCCCCGGCGGGCCCUAAAGUCAGUGGCGGUGCCGUCCGGCUCCGAGCGUAGUAAUUCUUCUCGCUCUGGAGGUCCGGUCGUGUGCUCGCCAGCAACCCCCAAUUUUUUUCAGGUUGACCUCGGAUCAGGUAGGGAUACCCGCUGAACUUAAGCAUAUCAAUAAGCGGAGGA